AGGACGAACGCUGGCGGCGUGCUUAACACAUGCAAGUCGAGCGGAAAGGCCCUUUGGGGUACUCGAGCGGCGAACGGGUGAGUAACACGUGAGUAAUCUGCCCCUAGCUUUGGGAUAGCUCCGGGAAACCGGGAUUAAUACCGAAUACGACCACUUUAGACAUCUUUUGUGGUGGAAAGAAUUUCGGCUAGGGAUGAGCUCGCGGCCUAUCAGCCUGUUGGUGGGUAACGGCCUACCAAGGCGACGACGGGUAG
rnacentral:rRNA from 1 species